CCCUUAGAUGUUCUGGGCCGCACGCGCGCUACACUGACGAUGGCAACGAGUUUUUCCUUCGCCGAAAGGUGUGGGUAAUCUUUUGAAACAUCGUCGUGCUGGGGAUAGAUCAUUGCAAUUUUUGAUCUUGAACGAGGAAUUCCUAGUAAGCGCAAGUCAUCAACUUGCGUUGAUUACGUCCCUGCCCUUUGUACACACCGCCCGUCGCUACUACCGAUUGAAUGGUUUAGUGAGGCCUUCGGAUCCGCGACUCGUUUGUGGAGAAGUUGGACAAACUCAGUCAUUUAGAGGAAGUAAAAGUCGUAACA
rnacentral:rRNA from 1 species